GCUCCCCUGAGGAGGAAAAGGGUAUUGUCAGUCCCAGGAAGAGUCCACGCAGGGGGCCAAGCCAAUUCCUUCAGGAACGGUGCUGGGAAUGCCGAGUUCUGAAUACCCAGCGCUGACUAACUACCCAAAGCUCUGCUGCUUGCAUGAACUUGGCCUCUCGAGCUGGACACUAGCCUACUGUAAAGUGUGGGAAAGGAAUCUCAGUGCCAUUUUCCACAACAGGAUCCUUUGUCCAGAAACCUUAUGAUGUAACCAUCAACCUAUAGUUAAAAUGCCUCUUUCUUCAAGGCUCUUCUUUAGCAGCAAAAAUAUGAACUCUGGUCUUAGCAACAACAAAAAGCAACAACUUUGUUCAGUACCAGGAGUUACUUGUUCCCAGAGUUCCAUAGAGUUGAAGAUUUAAACUAGUUUGAAAGUUGAAACUGCCAAAACUGCCCUAGUCUCCACCCCACAAAAAAAACCUUAAGAAUUUUGUGUGGUCUUCUAGCCUCCCAUCUAAUUUGAGAGACCUUAACUCAUUAAACCAGGAGGGCUGCUUUUGCGCUGUAGUCAAACUGGCUUAUGUAGAGUCAGACCACCGGUCUACCUAGCUCACUCUUGUCUACACCAGGAGCUGCUAACCUCCUUUUGGCCCAUGGGCACAUUCAAAAUAUACUGUGGGCACCAUCCCCUCUGGUUGCUUUUCUUCUUCACCCCACCCCAGCAGUCAGCAUCCCCUCCCUUCACAGAUGAACAAAAAUAAAAGGCGCUCUCUUGCUCUUGGAGUUAUGGAUAACCUAAAUACGAAGGAACCCAUUGUUUGAAACACACAAAUAUCUCCCACUCCAGAUUGGUUGUAGUACCUCUAGGUAUGAUCUGGACUCUUCGCUGAUCCUGAUCCCGGCCAUUGGAAGCAAUGCAGGUAAAGAAGCCAGCAUCUUCAGAGG